rnacentral:rRNA from 1 species
GGUUGCGAUCAUACCAGCACUAAUGCACCGGAUCCCAUCAGAACUCCGCAGUUAAGCGUGCUUGGGCGAGAGUAGUACUAGGAUGGGUGACCCCCUGGGAAGUCCUCGUGUUGCAACCCA